rnacentral:rRNA from 1 species
CUGACGAUACUUUGCUGGAACCGCCGGGGCUUGGGCCGACCACGGAAAGUUCAAGAAUUGGUGAGGCUUGUGCAUGCUCAGCGUCCAAAAAAUUUCAUUCUUUCUGAAACUUGUCAAAAUAAAAAGUUUGUUGAGGGUCUUAGAUGGAGACUAGGUCUCCGGAAUGUAGUUUCCUUUAUAUAAGAUGGUAAAGGGGGUGGCCUAGCACUGUUCUGGGAUGAGAGUAUCGAAUAGAGAUACACGUUUGUUUACGGCGAGCCCCGCACUCAUAUGCCCCACCAUAUGUGGGAUCUCAUGUGUAAAAUAAAACUUUUAACUACGCCGGGACCAUGGUUGAUGGCAGGUGAUUUUAAUGAGUGUAUGUGGCAGGAUGAGCAUUUUUCUAGGACUCGUAGAAACCAAAAACAAAUGCUUGAUUUUAGAGAAGUCCUAUCCCACUAUGAUCUUCAUGAUCUAGGUUACAUGGGGGCGCCUUGGACCUUUGACAAUGGCCAAGAUGGCUACCGCAAUGUUAAAGUUAGACUUGAUAGGAUGGUGGCGAACCCGGAAUGGAUGAAUAUCUUCCCAAACUUUCAGAUCAAUCACAUAGUCAGUACAGCGUCUGACCAUAGCCCCAUUGAAGUGUGCUGGGAGCAGCAAACUGUACGUCAACCAGUUAGUCAAAAACGUAGAUAUGAAGCUUUCUGGGAAAAGGAUAAUAAACUAAGUGAAGAAGUGGAAGUAGCGUGGUCAAAAAAUCGUCCAGCCAGAGAUUUAGGUGAUAUUAUAGCAAACCUAUCAGGUGUGAUGAGCUUUCUCCACAACUGGAGCAAACACAAUUUUGGUUCUAUCCCAAAGAAAAUAAAAGAACUUCAAAAUAAAAUUCAAGCAAUCAGUAACCGUAAUGACAGUCAUGCAAACUCAGAGUGA